rnacentral:snoRNA from 1 species
ACCUCCCACAAAGGCGUGUCUGUGGCUUCCUAUCCAUAGAUACGUAAGAACUGGAGGCAAAGAAAUGAGGGCUAGGAGAAGUUCAGGGCUGGCAUACCCUACCCUCGCUAGCCCAGGGACUUCCUGUCCUACAUUA